AUACCACUACUUUUAACG
rnacentral:snRNA from 1 species